AUGGAUUUCAUAGUAAUAGAAAUCCAUGUCCUACCGAGACAGAAUUUAGAACUUGCUAUCCUCUUGCCUAAUAGGCAAAGAUUGACCUCUAUAGAAAGACUGAUUCAUUCGGAUCGAUAUGAGGACCCAACUCUGUUGCAUUGCCAGAAUCCAUGUUCCAUGUUCUCAUGGUACACUCCUCUUCCUUCUGAGCCCCCUUUCUCCUUGGUCCAUAGAGAAAAAAAUGUAGGAUUGGUGUCGACAGUUCAUCACGGAAGAAAGAACUCACAAAGCCGGGAUCGGUAA
rnacentral:rRNA from 1 species